ACCAUUCACCCCUCCCUUUGAUGCAUUCAAAAGACUCUGAUAGAAGCAUGUACCCUGUACCCUGAAUAAUCUUCUCCAGCAAAACACCCUGAGCUACCUGUGAGCAACGUGCUGCAGCAUGACACAGGAGAGCUCAGACUGCACUAGCCUUGAGGGCAGCUCCCACUGAAGAGGCUCCUCAUUUCCCUGCUUGUUCAUACCAGGGCAUGAGUUUCAGGAAGGAGAUGGAGAUUGCAGAAUAAGAUCAUUUUGUGGCAGCGUGGAGAUCUCUGAGUCAUCCCACUCACUGCUGUCACCUGAGGACAUUUACCCAAGAGCUCUGCCAGCUAAACUGCUCCCAGGGAUGCUCUGGGUGAGGUUCUGGGAUGCUCAGUGUGUAUGUGCCACUCUGAUUCAACUCCUCCUACAACCCCUUUGUGGAGAUCAAGCACGCUCUUGCACUAAGAAAGUAACACGCAGCAGCAGCAUAGCAGAGACACAGUCUGGGAACAGGCACCGUGGACGGUGGCUUUGAGACAAGUCUGUCUAUAGCUCAUUAUCUGAUUGCAAUGAACGUGGGCAGCAGAGCACUGAGACACUCCACAGCUCCCUCACCAACUCCCGGCACUCAGAACACUUGACUCAGGUCUCAGAAAACAUUAUGCUGUCCAAAAAUAAUGAGAUUUUAAAAAUUAAUAAACUCCAACUCUGUUUA